AGGGAAACCGAGUCUUAACCGGGCGUUAAGUUGCAGGGUAUAGACCCGAAACCCGGUGAUCUAGCCAUGGGCAGGUUGAAGGUUGGGUAACACUAACUGGAGGACCGAACCGACUAAUGUUGAAAAAUUAGCGGAUGACUUGUGGCUGGGGGUGAAAGGCCAAUCAAACCGGGAGAUAGCUGGUUCUCCCCGAAAGCUAUUUAGGUAGCGCCUCGUGAACUCAUCUUCGGGGGUAGAGCACUGUUUCGGCUAGGGGGUCAUCCCGACUUACCAACCCGAUGCAAACUGCGAAUACCGAAGAAUGUUAUCACGGGAGACACACGGCGGGUGCUAACGUCCGUCGUGAAGAGGGAAACAACCCAGACCGCCAGCUAAGGUCCCAAAGUCACAGUUAAGUGGGAAACGAUGUGGGAAGGCUCAGACAGCCAGGAUGUUGGCUUAGAAGCAGCCAUCAUUUAAAGAAAGCGUAAUAGCUCACUGGUCGAGUCGGCCUGCGCGGAAGAUGUAACGGGGCUAAACUGUGCACCGAAGCUGCGGCAGCGACGCUUAUGCGUUGUUGGGUAGGGGAGCGUUCUGUAAGCCUGCGAAGGUGUCCUGUGAGGGAUGCUGGAGGUAUCAGAAGUGCGAAUGCUGACAUAAGUAACGAUAAUGCGGGUGAAAAGCCCGCUCGCCGGAAGACCAAGGGUUCCUGUCCAACGUUAAUCGGGGCAGGGUGAGUCGACCCCUAAGGCGAGGCCGAAAGGCGUAGUCGAUGGGAAACGGGUUAAUAUUCCCGUACUUGGUGUUACUGCGAAGGGGGGACGGAGAAGGCUAUGUUGGCCGGGCGACGGUUGUCCCGGUUUAAGCGUGUAGGCUGGUUUUCCAGGCAAAUCCG
rnacentral:rRNA from 1 species